UCUAAGUAUAAACGAUAAGUGAAACCGCGAACGGCUCAUUACAUCAGUAAUAAUUUAAUAGAUGAUAAUACUCCUAAUUGGAUAUCUGAGGUAAUUCUUGAGCUAAUACAUGCGUUUUUGCAGAGCGUCUUUUGGCGCUCUGUGCAUUUAUUGGUCCAAAACCAAGCGGCCUUGGUCGUUUAAUUUGGUGACUCUGAAUAACUCUGUGAAUCGCACGGUCUCGUACUGGCGAUAGGUCUAUCAAGUUUCUGUUCUAUCAACUUUUGAUGGUUCUGUAUUGGAGAACCAUGGUUAUAACGGAUAACGGAGAAUUAGGGUUUGACUCCGGAGAGGGAGCCUGAGAAACGGCUACCACAUCCAAGGAAGGCAGCAGGCGCGAAAAUUACCCACUCUCAGUUCGAGGAGGUAGUGACGAAAAAUAACAAGACCGAUCGCUUUGCGAGCGGUUAUUGAAAUGGGUACAAUUUAAA
rnacentral:rRNA from 1 species